CCUACGGGUGGCUGCAGUGAGGAAUAUUGGUCAAUGGCCGGAAGGCUGAACCAGCCAAGCCGCGUGAGGGAGGAAGGCGCAGAGCGUCGCAGACCUCUUUUGCCGGUGGACAACAGGCCGGACUCGUCCGGUCCUGAGGGUACCCGGAGAAAAAGCAUCGGCUAACUCCGUGCCAGCAGCCGCGGUAAUACGGAGGAUGCGAGCGUUAUCCGGAUUCAUUGGGUUUAAAGGGUGCGUAGGCGGGCCGUGAAGCCGGCGGUGAAAUCGCGGGGCUAAACCGCGCCGAGCCGUCGAAACUGGGGGUCUUGAGUGCGGCGGAGGCAUGCGGAAUGCGCGGUGUAGCGGUGAAAUGCAUAGAUAUCGCGCAGAACCCCGAUUGCGAAGGCAGCGUGCCGGGGCGCCACUGACGCUGAGGCACGAAAGCGCGGGGAUCGAACAGGAUUAGAUACCCGAGUAGUC
rnacentral:rRNA from 1 species